rnacentral:rRNA from 1 species
UACGUAGGGUGCAAGCGUUAAUCGGAAUUACUGGGCGUAAAGCGUGCGCAGGCGGUCUUUUAAGUCAGAUGUGAAAUCCCCGGGCUUAACCUGGGAACUGCGUUUGAAACUGGAAGGCUAGAGUGUGGCAGAGGGGGGUGGAAUUCCACGUGUAGCAGUGAAAUGCGUAGAGAUGUGGAGGAACACCGAUGGCGAAGGCAGCCCCCUGGGCUAACACUGACGCUCAUGCACGAAGCGUGGGGAGCAAACAGGA